ensembl:lncRNA
AAGGAAGCAGGAGUGAGCUGAUACACAGUGGGAGCAGUGUUGGGAUUGUAAGUGUGAAGCUGUGUAGGAGAAAUGAGGCUAUUGCUGGCUGUCAGUCUCAUUCUCCUCUUCCUAUGGCUUCACAAGACUCAGACAUCUAGUGUCACCUUGCACAUGAAUGCUCGUGAGGCAGUAUCGAUGAGUGAGGCAGCAGUAUCUCUCCUCUUAUCGCCUCUGUCUCUGUACUCCUGGAUGACCUCCACGUUGCUCAGGUUCCUUCUGUCCGUCCCAGCUCUCGUCUUCAGCUCCUGGUAUCACUCCUUGCUGCUGAUCCUGGCUGGGCCUUGGUGUGUUGCCACUGUCUGCUUCUCUCUGCUGGUGACCGGUCUCCAUGUUUCUCUCUACCUACUUCACCUCGGGCUGGUGGCUGGGGCGGUAGCCAUUUUGGCUGUCAGGCAACACAAGAUGGCUGACGGUGACACCCCCAGGGAGAAAGUAUUAAGCCUACAGAAGAGCGUAGAAGGGCAGCAAACCAAAAGCAGGCUACUAAUUGCCCUUCGAUAGAUUGGCGUCCAGGUUGUACCCGGUGUCUCACCCAAUGAAAGGCCAUGAAUUUGAUAAGCAUAAGAAAAUGGAUGAAUGACAGGAACAUGGCAAAGAAACUACAAAAGCCAAAAAGCUGCUGAGGCGGAGGAUGGGAAAAGACGUUAUGAAGGUGGGACUGAAAAAACAAACAGUCUCUCGAGCUUUCAGUGAGUAAUCUUUGCUUAUUUCACAGGUGAAAAAAAACCCCCUAUGACCAAAUUCUGAUUAGCAAAUUGGAGCACCUUGAACUCAUAAUUUUUUUCCCUGCAAAUGACCAAAAUCAGUUAAUAAUUUAUACGUCCAUUACUAAACUAUCUUAUCUUGGAUUUAUUCUUCAACC